GCUGGGCAUGGUGGUGCGCGCCUGUAGUCCCAGCUACUUGGGAGGCUGAGGCAGGAGAAUUGCUUGAACCCAGGAGGCGGAGGUUGCGGUGAGCCUAGAUCGUGCCAUUGCACUCCAGUCUGGGUAACAACAGCGAAAACUCCGUCUAAAAAAAAAAAAAAAAGCAAGACUCCGUCUCAAAAAAAAAAAAAAGUUUUUUUUUUGAGACGGAGUCUUGCUCUGUUGCCCAGGCUGGAGUACAGUGGCACAAUCUCGGCUCACUGCAACCUCUGCCUCCCGGGUUCAAGCAAUUCCCUGCCUCAG
rnacentral:SRP_RNA from 1 species